GCUUACGGCCAUACCACCCUGAACAUGCCCGAUCUCGUCCGAUCUCGAAGCUAAGCAGGUCGGGCCUGGUUAGUACUUGGAUGGGAGACCGCCUGGGAAUACAGGUGCUGUAAGCU
rnacentral:rRNA from 1 species